AGUGAGCGGCAAGCUCAAUUUGAAAUCUAGGCACCUUCGGUGUUCGAGUUGUAAUUUGAAGAUGGUAACCUUGGGUUUGGCUCUUGUCUAUGUUCCUUGGAACAGGACGUCAUAGAGGGUGAGAAUCCCGUCUGAUGAGAUGCCCAUUCCUAUGUAAGGUGCUAU
rnacentral:rRNA from 1 species